rnacentral:rRNA from 1 species
AUUGAACGCUGGCGGCAGGCCUAACACAUGCAAGUCGAGCGGAGCGGCGGACGGGUAAGUAAUGCCUAGGACUCUGCCUGGUAGUGGGGGAUAACGUCCGGAAACGGGCGCUACUACCGCAUACUAUCAGAUGAGCCUAGGUUGGAUUAGCUAGUAGGUGGGGUAAAGGCCUACCAAGGCGACGAUCCGUAACUGGUCUGAGAUGAUGCUCAGUCACACGUGAGCUGAGACCCGGUCCAGACUCCUACGGGACGCUGCAGUUGGGAAUAUUGGACAAGGGGCCGAAGCCUGAUCCAUCCAUGCCGCGUGUGUGAUGUAGGGCUUCAGAGUGUAAAGCGCUUUAAGUUGGGAGGCGUUACCAACAGAAGAAGCACCGUCUUACUUCGUGCCUGCAGCCUCGUUAAUUC